rnacentral:rRNA from 1 species
UACGUAGGAGGCAAGCGUUGUCCGGAAUCACUGGGCGUAAAGCGCGUGUAGGUGGUGCGACAAGUCUGCUGUGAAAGCGCCUGGCUUAACCGGGCGAGGUCGGCGGAAACUGACGUACUGGAGGCCGGUAGAGGGGGGUGGAAUUCCCGGUGUAGUGGUGAAAUGCGUAGAGAUCGGGAGGAACACCAGUGGCGAAGGCGGCCCCCUGGGCCGGGCCUGACACUGAGACGCGAAAGCUAGGGGAGCAAACAGG